AUUGAACGCUGGCGGCAUGCCUUACACAUGCAAGUCGAACGGUAACAGGUCUUCGGAUGCUGACGAGUGGCGAACGGGUGAGUAAUACAUCGGAACGUGCCUAGCAGUGGGGGAUAACUACUCGAAAGAGUGGCUAAUACCGCAUGAGAUCUACGGAUGAAAGCAGGGGAGCGAAAGACCUUGUGCUAAUAGAGAGGCCGAUGGAAGAUUCGGUAGUUGGUGGGAUAAAAGCUUACCAAGCCGACGAUCUGUAGCUGGUCUGAGAGGACGAUCAGCCACACUGGGACUGAGACACGGCCCAGACUCCUACGGGAGGCAGCAGUGGGGAAUUUUGGACAAUGGGCGCAAGCCUGAUCCAGCAAUGCCGCGUGCAGGAUGAAGGCCUUCGGGUUGUAAACUGCUUUUGUACGGAACGAAAAGCCCCGGGUUAAUACCCUGGGGUCAUGACGGUACCGUAAGAAUAAGCACCGGCUAACUACGUGCCAGCCGCCGCAGUAA
rnacentral:rRNA from 1 species